UUGACCUCGGAUCAGGUAGGACUACCCGCUGAACUUAAGCAUAUCAAUAAGCGGAGGAAAAGAAACCAACAGGGAUUGCCCCAGUAACGGCGAGUGAAGCGGCAACAGCUCAAAUUUGAAAUCUGGCCUUCGGGUCCGAGUUGUAAUUUGGAGAGGAUGCUUCUGGCGCGGCGCCGUCCGAGUUCCUUGGAACAGGACGCCAUAGAGGGUGAGAGCCCCGUACGGGCGGACGCCUAGCCUCUGUGAAGCUCCUUCGACGAGUCGAGUAGUUUGGGAAUGCUGCUCAAAAUGGGAGGUAAAUUUCUUCUAAAGCUAAAUACCGGCCAGAGACCGAUAGCGCACAAGUAGAGUGAUCGAAAGAUGAAAAGCACUUUGAAAAGAGGGUUAAAAAGUACGUGAAAAUUGUUGAAAGGGAAGCGCCUGUGACCAGACUUGCUGCCCGCGGAUCAUCCGGCGUUCCUCGCCGGUGCACUCCGCGGGCGGCAGGCCAGCAUCGGUUUUCCUGGGGGGUCAAAGGUCGCGGGAACGUGGCUCCUUCGGGAGUGUUAUAGCCCGCGGCGUCAUGCCUCUGGGGGGACCGAGGACCGCGCUUCGGCAAGGAUGCUGGCGUAAUGGUCACCGGCGACCCGUCUUGAAACACGG
rnacentral:rRNA from 1 species